rnacentral:siRNA from 1 species
AAAGUCAUCACACCUACCGCAAAA